rnacentral:rRNA from 1 species
CAGUAGCCGCGGUAAAACGUAGGGUGCAAGCGUUAAUCGGAAUUACUGGGCGUAAAGCGUGCGCAGGCGGUUUGUUAAGACAGAUGUGAAAUCCCCGGGCUCAACCUGGGAACUGCAUUUGUGACUGGCAAGCUAGAGUGUGGCAGAGGGGGGUGGAAUUCCGCGUGUAGCAGUGAAAUGCGUAGAUAUGCGGAGGAACACCGAUGGCGAAGGCAGCCCCCUGGGCCAAUACUGACGCUCAUGCACGAAAGCGUGGGGAGCAAACAGGAUUAGAUACCCGCGUAGUCCCUGUCUCUUAUAA